rnacentral:misc_RNA from 1 species
GAUGAAGAACGUAGCGAAAUGCGAUAAGUAAUGCGAAUUGCAGAAUCCGUGAGUCAUCGAAUCUUUGAACGCACAUUGCGCCCCCUGGUAUUCCGGGGGGCAUGCCUGUUCGAGCGUCAUUUCACCACUCAAGCCUCGCUUGGUAUUGGGCAACGCGGUCCGCCGCGUGCCUCAAAUCGACCGGCUGGGUCUUCUGUCCCCUAAGCGUUGUGGAAACUAUUCGCUAAAGGGUGUUCGGGAGGCUACGCCGUAAAACAACCCCAUUUCUAAGGUUGACCUCGGAUCAGGUAGGGAUACCCGCUGAACUUAAGCAUAUCAAUAAGCGGAGGA